rnacentral:rRNA from 1 species
GAACGCGAAGAACCUUACCCGGGAUUGAAAUUUAGAUGGCGGCAGAUGAGAGUUUGCUUUCCUUCGGGACAUCUAAGUAGGUGCUGCAUGGUUGUCGUCAGCUCGUGCCGUGAGGUGUCGGCUUAAGUGCCAUAACGAGCGCAACCCGCGUCGAUAGUUACUAACAGGUUAUGCUGAGGACUCUAUCGAGACAGCCGUCGUAAGACGAGAGGAAGGGGCGGAUGACGUCAAAUCAGCACGGCCCUUACAUCCGGGGCGACACACGUGUUACAACGGCAGGGACAAAGGGAAGCGACAUGGUGACAUGAAGCGGAUCUCCAAACCCUGUCCCAGUUCGGAUCGGAGUCUGCAACUCGACUCCGUGAAGCUGGAUUCGCUAGUAAUCGCGCAUCAGCCAUGGCGCGGUGAAUACGUUCCCGGGUCUUGUACACACC